AUGUACAUUCCUAGAGCAUAGCGUUAAUGUAGCGGAUCCCAUUAAAACUCUACAGUUAAGCGCAAUCAAGCUAGAGUAGUACUAGGAUGGGUGAUUGUCCGAGAAGUCCUAGUAUUUUACAUG
rfam:Picea glauca, whole genome shotgun sequence.